rnacentral:rRNA from 1 species
UACGAAGGGGGCUAGCGUUGCUCGGAAUGACUGGGCGUAAAGGGCGCGUAGGCGGAUGGCUUUGUCGGGCGUGAAAUUCCAGGGCUUAACCUUGGGGCUGCGUUCGAGACGGGUUGUCUUGAGUGGGGAAGAGGGUCGUGGAAUUCCCAGUGUAGAGGUGAAAUUCGUAGAUAUUGGGAAGAACACCGGUGGCGAAGGCGGCCUGCUGGGCAGUGGCUGACACUGAGGCGCGGCAGCGUGGGGAGCAAACAGG